GGCCCCGUCGUCUAGCCCGGUCUAGGACAUCACCCUUUCACGGUGAGAACAUGGGUUCGAAUCCCAUCGGGGUCA
rnacentral:tRNA from 1 species